rnacentral:rRNA from 1 species
AACGAACGCUGGCGGCAUGCCUAACACAUGCAAGUCGAACGAGACCUUCGGGUCUAGUUGCGCACGGGUGCGUAACGCGUGGGAACCUGCCUUUAGGUUCGGUAUAACUCAGAGAAAUUUGAGCUAAUACCGGUUGAUGUCUUCGGACCAAAGAUUUAUCGCCUUUAGAUGGGCCCGCGUUGGAUUGGCUAGUUGGUGGGGUAAAGGCCUGCCAAGGCGACGUUCCAUAGCUGGUCUGAGAAGAUGAUCAGCCACACUGGGGCUGCGACACGGCCCAGACUCCUACGGGAGGGAGCAGUGUGGUAUAUUAUGCAAGGAGCGAAAGCCUGAUCCAGCAAUGCGGCGUGAGAGAUGAAGGCCUUAGGAUUGUAAAGCUCUUUUACCCGAGAUGAUAAUGACAGUAACGGGAGAAGAAGCUCCGGCUAACUCCGUG